AGCAGCCGCGGUAAUUCCAGCUCCAAUAGCGUAUAUUAAAGUUGUUGCAGUUAAAAAGCUCGUAGUUGAAUUUCGGGAUCAAUGGGUCGGUCGUGCCAAUGGUAUGUACUGGCCUCAUUGGUUCUCACCUUCUAAGGAACCAUGAUGUCAUUUAUUUGAUGUUGUGGGAAAUUAGGACUGUUACCUUGAAAAAAU
rnacentral:rRNA from 1 species